AAGUCGUAACAAGGUUUCUGUAGGUUAACCUGCAGAAGGAUCAUUCCGGAUUGGUUUUCGGGUCAUAUUCAAAACCACGUGAACUCUAAACUACAUUGGCGACUCAGCUGUGUUGGCCUUAGGGCUGACCAGAAGCGAGCGUCGGGGGCUUUGCUAACUAUUAUUUCAUUAUUGCCUAAGUACAGUUGAAUUAUUAUAACCUUUAACAAUGGAUCUCUUGGCUCCU
rnacentral:misc_RNA from 1 species